UACGGAGGGUGCAAGCGUUAUCCGGAUUUACUGGGUUUAAAGGGUGCGUAGAUGGCAUAAUAAGUUAUUAGUGGGAAAUCGAGGCUCAACCUCGUGGAAGCUAGUAAUACUGUUUUGCUUGAGUACAGAAGAGGUUAACGGAACUCCAUGUGGAGCGGUAAAAUGCGUAGAUAUAUGGAAGAACACCAAUAACGGCGAAGGCAGUUAACUAUUCUGUUACUGACAUUGAGGCACGAAAGCGUGGGGAGCAAAACGG
rnacentral:rRNA from 1 species